GGAGCUAGUGCUGCCUUGAGCCACAUGAUAAGGAGAAGGACCAGAGAGGCAGGCAGAUGCCAGAUCAUGCAGGGCCUUGUGGAAUCUAAGUGAGAAAUGAUGUGACCUGGCCUAGCAUGAAUCUGUCUUCUGUUGGUAUGAGAAGAUCUUCCUUAGAGUCCCAAAUCUGACGGCCAGAAAUAAACCCUGGGGCAGAGGCAGACAUUGAACUACUGGUAGAAGAAGGCUGCAGCUGAAUGCGGUGGCUCACGCCUGUAAUCCCAGCACUUGGGAAGGCGGAGGCAGGUGGAUCACCUGAGUUCAGGAGUUCAAGACCAGCGUGACCAACAUGGCGAAACCCUGUCUCAAAUAAAAGUACAAAAAUUAACCGGGGGCAGUGGCUUGUGCCUGUAGUCCCAGCUAUUGGGGAGGCUGAGGCAGGAGAAUUGCUUGAACCUGGGAGGCAGAGGUUGCAGUGAACCCAGAUCACGCUACUGCAUUCCAGCCUGUGCAACAGAGCGAGACUCCGUCUCAAAAUAAACAAACAAACAAACAAACAAACAAACAAAUAAAUAAAAAGAGUAGGCUACUCUGGGGGCUGCCUGGAGGAUGGGUCACCAAGGAGACACCUGUGGAAAGCAGGUAGCCCUGAAAUCCCUCAGCUCUCUAGCAGAGCCAGCCAAGGGGUAACUGAGAAGGUUGCCAAGACCGGAGUCCCUACUAACCACCUGCUUUCAUGGAUUCCUGGACACCCCGGAGUGACUACAUUGCAGAUAGUCCCCCUUUUUUUUUUUUUUUUUUUGAGACAGAGUCUCGAUCUGUCGCCCAGGCUACAGUACAGUGGUGCAAACUUGGCUCACUGCAACAUGUGCCUCCCCGUUUCAAGUGAUUCUCAUGCCUCAGCCUCCCGAGUAGCUGGGACCACAAGUGCAUGCCACCACGCCCAGCUACUUUGUUUUUGUUUUUGUUUGAGACAGAGUUUUACUCUUGUUGCCCAGGCUGGAGUGCAAUGACGCUAUCUCAGCUCACUGCAAUCUCUGCCUUCUGGGUUCAAGCGAUUCUCCUGCCUCAGCCUCUCGAAUAGCUGGGAUUACAGGCAUGGGCCACCACGCCAGGCUAAUUUUGUAUUUUUAGCAGAGAUGGGGUUUCACUAUGUUGGUCAGGCUGGUCUUGAACUCCUGACCUCAGUUGAUCUGCCUGCCUUGGCCUCCCAAAGUGCUAGGAUUACAGGCAUGAGCCACUGUGCCUGGCCCACCUUUUUUGUAUUUUUAGUAGAGAUAAGGUUUUGCCAUGUUGGCCAGGCUACUCUCAAACUCCUGGCCUCAAGUGAUCCUCCUGCCUCAGCCUCCCAAAGUGUUGGGAUCAUAGGCUUGAGCCAUUGCAUCCCGCCCAAAGACCACAUUUUAAGAAAGAAACACUGCCUGAGUACAACAAAAAGUCUAUAGCUGGCCGGGCGCGGUGGCUCAAGCCUGUAAUCCCAGCACUCUGGGUGGCCAAGACGGGCGGAUCAUGAGGUCAGGAGAUCGAGACCAUCCUGGCUAACACGGUGAAACCCCGUCUCUACUUAAAAAAUACAAAAAAGUAGCCGGGUGAGGUGGCGGGCGCCUGUAGUCCCAGCUACUCGGGAGGCUGAGGCAGGAGAAUGGCCUAAACCCGGGAGGCGGAGUUUGCAGUGAGCUGAGAUCCGGCCACUGCACUCCAGCCCGGGCGACAGAGCGAGACUCCGUCUCAAAAAAAAAAAAAAAAAA
rnacentral:lncRNA from 1 species